AACCAUAGAAACCUGCGGAGUACCUGCGGAGGGAUCAUUAAAAAGAGUGUGUACCCCCCUGUAAAAUGGGUGGGUUACCUCCCGUCCUUUGUUGACCUCUUAGGAGGUUAUUUUGAACUUUUCUGCUUCGGUGGGGUUAAACCUACCGGAACACCCUCAAAUUCUGAUCAUUUAAAAAUUGUUCAGUCCGAUUUUUGUUAAUAAAAACAAAAAACUUUCAGCAAUGGAUCUCAGAUCGGA
rnacentral:misc_RNA from 1 species